rnacentral:rRNA from 1 species
UAAGGAAUAUUGGUCAUGGAGGCAACUCUGAAACCAGCCAUGCCGCGUGCAGGAUGAAGGCCCUAUGGGUCGUAAACUGCUUUUAUACCAGAGAAAACCCGAGUACGUGUACUCGGUUGAUAGUAUGGUAAGAAUAAGCAUCGGCUAACUUCGUGC